AUCUCGAGGGAAGAGAUAAGAAUCAUCUUAUCAGAAAUAAGAGGAGGAAGUCGGGAAAAAAGCCGAAGGAUUCGAAAAACAAAAGAAAAGAGAGAGAGAGAACGCCAGAGAAAUAAUGAAGAGUUUACAAUUCGGGAGCACGUUCUUCUGUGAACGGGAACGCAACUGGUGGUGAUUGUUAACCAUCAUCUUCUUGUCGGUUCAGAUCACGCACCUCAAUCAAGGUUUGUUUACACCUUCGGAUGGCCUUUGUUUCUGCUGCAAAAGUCUUAUCGCGUCUCACUUGUGUGUUCGACCUGAAUCCAUUUAUUCCGUUCGUCGUUCAAGAAAAGAAAGAAAGAAAAGGAGGGUUAAGUAAGUCUGUGAGUUUGAGAGAGCAGUUUUUCUUAUCAUGUGAAAAACAAGGCACGAAAAAGAAGAUAGGUGCACCGAAGGUAAAAAAAAAAAAGGUGGACGUGCUGGUCCAUUGCGCUCCCACCUGAUGACUCUGCGGCCACCCGAACUGAUUACGAAGCCGAGGCAUUCCACCUCACGUAGUCUUUUGUUUGUUUUGUUUUUUUUGUGUUCUUUUCUCUCUUUGCAUUUUUAAUUUUCUUUUCUCUUCAAAGUCUGUGUGGUUGUUUUUCUACCUUCUCGCAGUUGGAUUAAAGCCAAGUUCCAUCAAACUGGAAGAGCUGCAACCAAUAACGGCCAGGUAUUGGGGCCAAAAAAUAAGACGGGGCAACCAGAAACCGAUUGAAACCGCCGCCUUCCGCCUCUAGCCCGCGUCACGUUGCUAACACACACACACACAUACACACACAGAUACAC
rnacentral:lncRNA from 1 species